CCUACGGGAGGCAGCAGUGAGGAAUAUUGGUCAAUGGCCGGAAGGCUGAACCAGCCAUGCCGCGUGAAGGUCAGUGCCCUAUGGGCGUUAAACUUCUUUUGUGCGGGAGCAAUAAUGGUCACGUGUGGCCAGACGAGAGUACCGUACGAAUAAGCAUCGGCUAACUCCGUGCCAGCAGCCGCGGUAAUACGGGGGAUGCAAGCGUUAUCCGGAUUUAUUGGGUUUAAAGGGUGCGUAGGCUGGGAGGUAAGUCAGCGGUGAAAUGCCCCCGCUCAACGGGGUGAAGUGCCAUUGAUACUGCCUUGCUGGAAUGCGGAUGCGGUAGGAGGAAUGUGUGGUGUAGCGGUGAAAUGCAUAGAUAUCACACAGAACACCGAUUGCGAAGGCAGCUCACGAAUCCGCGAUUGACGCUGAUGCACGAAAGCGUGGGUAUCAAACAGGAUUAGAUACCCCAGUAGUC
rnacentral:rRNA from 1 species